GACGGAGGAUGCAAGUGUUAUCCGGAAUCACUGGGCGUAAAGCGUCUGUAGGUGGUUCAAUAAGUCAACUGUUAAAUCUUGAGGCUCAACUUCAAAAAUCGCAGUCGAAACUAUUGGACUCGAGUAUAGUAGGGGGUAAAGGGAAUUUCCAGUGGAGCGGUGAAAUGCGUAGAGAUUGGAAAGAACACCAAUGGCGAAAGCACUUUACUGGGCUAUUACUGACACUGAGAGACGAAAGCUAGGGUAGCAAAUGGG
rnacentral:rRNA from 1 species